CUUGCCAGUUUUAGAUCGAUGAUUACCCUCCAAUGUGGAUAGUUGAUUGUAGAACCAUUAAACGCAUAUUUUCUUGCAUCGUCAUGUAAGACCUCUAUGAGGGCUGAUAUGUCCUCUUCUGACCAUUUUUCAACAUUUGAAUCACAGGGUUUACUCAUUCUUUUACAUUUCUACAGUAUAAUAAUAAUAUGAUAAAAAAAAAUUGUAUUUGCUAUGCUCACUUUGAUUUACAUAAAAUUGAAAAAACUUGUUUCACAUGAACACCAAAAUAUUAAUUAAAAUUUUAGAUUAUCCUUACCCUGUUAAGCGGUGGAGGCGCAAUCACUGAAUUUUC
rnacentral:lncRNA from 1 species